AAGUCGUAACAAGGUUUCCGUAGGUGAACCUGCGGAAGGAUCAUUAAUGAAAUAAUUAAGAUGGGUUAGGUUGCUGCUGGCUCCCUUGGGGGGGCAUGUGCACGCCUUCCAUUGAUUUUUCACACCCAUGUGCACCAUCUGUAGGCUUAAAGACAUCGCUCGGGGGCUUAAUCCUCCCGGAUUUUGAGGACUGCUGUGCGUCAAAGUCAGCUGUUCUUUUUAUGUUCCUUAAGUCUAUGUUUUUGUUAUACACUCCAUAUGUAUGUAACCGAAUGUAGUUGAAAAGGCCUAUUGUGCCUUUAAAAGUUAAUACAACUUUCAACAAUGGAUCUCUUGGCUCUC
rnacentral:misc_RNA from 1 species